UACGAGUGGUGCAAGCGUUAUUCGGAAUAAUUGGGCGUACAGGGUGCGUAGACGGUAUGUUAAGUCUGCUGUUAAAUCCUCCGGCUUAACCGGAGAUAUGCGGUGGAAACUGGCGUACUAGAGGGUGGAAGAGAGAAGUGGAAUUCUCGGUGUAGCGGUAAAAUGCGUAGAUAUCGAGAGGAACACCGAUGGCGAAGGCAGCUUCUUGGUCCAUUCCUGACGUUGAGGCACGAAAGCGUGGGGAGCAAACAGG
rnacentral:rRNA from 1 species